rnacentral:lncRNA from 1 species
GGAAUUUGAGUUCAAGGAAUAUGAUGAGGUGGUUAAGUGCUAUCCACAAGGAUAUCAUGGAGUCGAUAAAGACGGACGACCUGUUUAUAUUGAAAGGCUUGGUCAAGUCGAUGCUAAUAAGCUGACUCAAGUAACAACAAUCGACCGUUAUUUAAAGUACCACGUAAAAGAGUUCGAGAAGACCUUUGCUAUUAAAUUCCCUGCUGCAUCAAUUGUAGCCAAAAAACACAUUGAUCAAAGCACAACCAUAUUGGAUGUUGAAGGAGUGGUACGUAAGAUUUUGUUGCUCGGUUUUUGAAUCUUGCUUCGUUUGCAGUGUUCUAAUACGUCGUAAACGAACUUUGCAGGGGCUUAAAAGCUUCAACAAGGCUGCACGGGAUCUCCUUCAACGACUUCAAAAGAUAGACGGUGACAAUUAUCCCGAGGUAGUCAUAACUUCAUAUGGUCAUGAAACAUUUUUUUUUAAGUCAUGAUGAAGCUUAAUUAAAUGGCUUACCAAUGUUUUUGCAGACUCUGAACCGGAUGUUUAUCAUCAAUGCCGGCUCGGGAUUUAGGCUCUUAUGGGGCACGGUUAAAUCUUUCCUCGACCCGAAGACCACUGCAAAAAUCCAUGUAAGUAUGAAUCAACCGAAUUCGGUUCUCGAUACAUAAUGUUGCGAACACAACUUUAUGGUAUAUACUUUUCAUCAGGUUUUGGGUAACAAAUACCAGAGCAAAUUGCUUGAAGUAAUUGAUGCUAAGUGAGUAUCUCUUAAUAUGUAUAUAUGUGUUUCAGUCUCUCUCUCUCUCUUUAUAUAUAUAUAUAAAUAUUUGUUUGGUUGCGGUUUUUAAACAGCGAACUACCAGAGUUUUUGGGCGGUAACUGUACUUGUUCCGAUAAAGGUGGUUGCAUGCUGUCUGAUAAGGGUCCAUGGAACGAUCCCGAAAUAUUAAAGGUAUUGGCUAUAUUAUCUCGAAUAGGAUGAGUAUGGUAUAUGAGUACGUGUCUAACAUAUGUAUAACUUCACUGUAUAAGCAGAGGGUUCAAAAUGGUGAGGCCAAGUGCAUGAGGAGGAACACGUCUGGGGUCGACGACAAAGCAUGCCUAGAGGUAUUUUCACUUCUAGGAAAAGGAAUUUUCGAUUUUCAAUCAUCAAUGCCUAACCUUUUUUCUUUACAUUCGAUGUUGCAAAACCGAAGAUGAGUCGCUCAUUCAACGUGGAAACAGCUACAGGCACCGGUGAAAGGAUUGCCAAAAACACACCUUUAUCACCUGUUGCCGAAGUAAGUGGCACUCCUUAUCAUGCCAUGUCUGAAAAUGCAUUGCAUUCAUGUUUCAUGAUGCAUUUCUUUAUGUAUUUGUAGUCUCCGAUUAAGAACGAGUCCCGGGAUACCUUUACCUAUGACAAAGUUAUUCCGAUGGUUGACAAGGGUAUUGAUGCUUCCUGGCCUAAAUUGAUGGCAGAUGAAAGUUUUGCCAUAUUGAAAGGUAUAUAUAUAUAUAUAUAUUUGCUAAUUCGAAACGGUCCUAUGAUGUCAAAUUACCAGCUUACUUGUUUAUAACUUGCAGAUAGUUACCAUAUGAAGGAUGAUGGGAAGGUUGUUACUACAGGAAUGAGCAACAAUGUUUUC